rnacentral:tRNA from 1 species
GAGUAUGGCUCAGUGGCAGAGCAUGUACCUAACAUGCAUAAGACCCUGGGUUCCAACCCUAGCACCA